AUUGAACGCUGGCGGCAGGCCUAACACAUGCAAGUCGAGCGGAGCGGCGGACGGGUACGUAAUGCCUAGGACUCUGCCCGGUAGUGUGGGAUAACGUCCGGCAACGGACGCUAAUACAGCAUACUAUCAAAUGAGCCUAGGUCGGAUUAGCUUGUUGGUGGGGUAAAGGCCUACCAAGGCGACGAUCCGUAACUGGUCUGAGAGGAUGAUCCGUCACACUGGAACUGAGACACGGUCCAGACUCCUACGGGAGGCAGCAGUGGGGAAUAUUGGACAAUGGGCGAAAGCCUGAUCCAGCCAUGCCGCGUGUGUGAAGAAGGUCUUCGGAUCGUAAAGCACUUUAAGUUGAGAGGCGUUACCAACAGAAUAAGCACCGGCUAACUUCGUGCCAGCAGCCGCGGUAAUAC
rnacentral:rRNA from 1 species